GCCUAAAGCGGCCGUAGCCGGAUAAGUAAAUCUUCUGUGAAAUCGUUGGGCUUAACCUAACGGCGUGCAGGGGAGACUACUAAUCUUGAGACCGGGAGGAGUCAGAGGUAUUCAUGGGGUAGCGGUAAAAUGCAAUAAUCCCAAGAAGACCACCUGUGGCGGAGGCGUCUGACUAGAACGGGUCUGACGGUGAGGGACGAAAGCUGGGGGAGCGAUCCGGAUUAGAUACCCGAGUAGUCCCAGCUGUAAACUCUGCUAGCUAGGUGUUGCAUAUUCCACGAGAAUAUGCGGUGUCGAAGCGAAGGCGAUAAGCUAGCCACCUGGGUAGUACGGUCGCAAGACUGAAACUUAAAGGAAUAGGCGGGGGAGCACUACAAGGGGUGCGGCGUGCGGUUUAACCCAACUCAACGCGGAGAAUCUCACCAGAGGCGACGGCAGAAUGAAAGUCAGAUUGAAGGUCUUACUUAACAAGCCGAGAGGUGGUGCAUGGCCGUCGUCAGCUCGUGCUGUGACGGUUUAUGUGCAAACAUGAACUGCAGCAAAAGUGUCCUGUUAAGUCAGGCAACGAGCGAGACCUGUGUCUACAAUUGCCAGCGAACGAUUCACGUGAUCGGGCACAUUGUAGAAACUGCCUUGGAAACAAGGAGGAAGGUGCAGGCAACGGUAGGUCCGUAUGCCCCUAA
rnacentral:rRNA from 1 species